AAUUUUGAUUAGAGAUUUUGAUUCAAAGUGAGAGGCUUUGUGGAGGACUAUCCUGCCUGUAAAGACUAAGAGAAUAUAUGUAAAGCUUGUUCUAGAGUCUUGGAGAUAGUACUAGUCCUUCGAGUUUACUCUUAAAAACUGGAUUUUCUAUUGGCUGUGGUGGGUGGUUUAUGUGGUCUUAGUAAGCUCCACACAAAGUUGACCCAAAAAAAAAAAGCUCCACGCAAACGUUAACCUUUUGUUUCUUUUAGAUUUAAAAGAAGAAUAACGCAAAUGCAAUUAAAAGGAGCAUAACAAUUAUGGCUGACAUUGAUAGGUAUACCGACUCUAUUUAUCAAUACUAUGUACCAACCAACUUAAGAUUGGUAGGCAAAAUCUUGUACCAAUAUCAACCGUCAAAGUUAGUAUACCAACUUAGUUGGUACGGUUGGUACUCGGUUGAUACGGUUGGUAGUGGGCCUCUACCAAGUUUAGAUUGAGGCCCAACAAACUAAAAGGCCCAGCUCAUUUGAAUCCUUUUUUUUUUGGGUUUUCUCUAUCAAUUAUCAAACACACAUCAUAUAAUUUUAAAUGCAUAAACAAACAAGAUCAAAACUUCAAAUGCAACAACGUCCAAAGUUAGCAGAAACUGGACAAAAUUUGCAGGGAAGAGUGAUGCUGCGAGGCCAGGAGAGUGCUAGACUGCUAAACACCAGUCUGGACAGAGGUGUUACUUGGGUGUGUUUCUUGCUGCCUCAAAGCCUUGGACAAAAGCAUUCUCUGCAAACACAACAACAAAAUAAAAACACAACAACACAACAACUAUUCAGUCUUUAAAGACAUAAGAUAACAACAAAAUAAAAACACAACAACACAACUAUUCAGUCUUUAAAGACACAGGAAUUAUGAUUAUAUAACAACACAACAACACAACAACUAUUCAGAGCAUAGAACACAGAAGCACAAAUUGUACAAACUAUAGAACACAAAUUAUAGUUAGCUCAACACAUUGAUUAUACACAUUAUAGAUAUAGCACAAAUUGUACAAAGUAGCUAGUUCCCGAAUCAAACAGGUACAUAACACAUAUCAUAAAACCUAUUAACAGAGCAUAAAAGACAGCAAAACGAAGAGGCAGAGGCUAUAUAGCAAGUAAUUUAGUCGGAGUUACUACUAAUUUUACACUACUUAAACAUCUGAUUCAGCACAUAGAUAGCACACAUAGAUUUGCGUUUAACUGCAAAUAAUCGUACACAUAGAUAGCACAUAGAUAACACAAAUUAGGAAGUUGAUACAUACGGAGAUCGAGGCUUGGCGCUGCCGAGUCGAGGUGCUACGAAGUCGAGGUGUUGCUCAGUUAUUGAAGCUGACCUUGGCGCUGCCGAGUCGACGGCGAGAGAGGCGAGGUGAGGUUUGAGCUAGAUGAGUGUUUAAGCGAGAGAGGCGAGAGAGGUGAGAGACAGAGAGAGAUUGAAUUGAAGUGAAGUGAAUGAGUCUAGGAUUAGGGUUAGAUGACUUAGAUCAAUGAUGGAGAUUCAUCUUCACAAAUAGUUGUAUUUUUUUAUUAUAUAUAAAUCGGUUGGUACACGGUAUACCGUAUUUUAGGUAAAACUUGUACCACGUACCAACCGACUCCUCAAACUUGGUACGGUAGUACUGUACCGAAAACUCGGUUACCAAUUAUAUCGGUUACCAACUUGUUUGGUGCGGUUGGUACAUGGUUGGUUGGUUUCGCCAAAGUCCAAAUUGCCACCCUAAUAACAAUGAGUUAAUGAUUUCUGAUCAUUAUUAUGUAUUAGCUACACAUAAAAUAUAAAUACUUAAUAUAAAUACUGAUUAUGUACAUAAUGAUUUUCUCAAGUAACUGUUGGAGACCUUCUAUUGUCUUACAUUUAAGGAGGGACAAUUGCUAAUAAGUGUUUUGCAUCAAAAUGACAGAUCGAGUACCUUGUAUUAUAAUGUGAGUUUCUUAUGAAAAUUUAAGCUUCUUUUGCUUGAUUAAAGCUUGUUUUUGAGUGUUAUGUGACCUCGAAUAUGUCUCGUCUCCUCUCUCUUUGCCCUAGCCCUGUCCUUUUUUCUUCAAAAUGAGACAGGGUGUUGGUAUGGUGGUAGCAAUGAGAUUUGUGAUGGCAAUCACGAUUGGCAGCGGGUAACCCUCUUUUCUUCUUUUCCUUCUAGGGUUGCGGAGGUCUAGAUUGAUCCCAUGUGAGAUUGACACUUUGAAGAACAAUAUCCGGCCGCACCAACCCGCGCCCAUCCCUAUUGUUCUUCAUCUGGGGAGACCCCCUAUACUGCUAUGCAUAGGAUGAGACCAGGUGUAUUUGCAUAAGUUAAAUGAUUGUAACAUUUGCUGUUUAUUGAUGCAUACGCCACAUCCUAUGGUCUACAACAUUAAGAUAACUUAUGUUUUUAAGUUAUCUUGCAUGAUUUAAUUUUUACGUAGCCUGCGACAAUGGAUUAUGUUUAUAUUUAUUCGAUUUGAUCAACAAAAUGACUUUACGUCCUUGAUUUAACAAAAAAUAAAAAAUCUUGUGUUAAGUGGUGAGUUGGUCACCUUUUCUGCCCACAUAUCAUACGCAAACGCCUAACAGAUUUAUAAUCAUGGGCUUUCAUUCAAGCAGUAAUCAUAAUUGGGCUAGAAAUGUAGAGGUACGUACGCAUUUGUGGAUUUUCCUGUGUAUCUUCCAGUAACAUAAACAAUAGCACCACUUUUAUAUAUAACGAGUCGUUUUCAUUCAAGUUGUUAAUUAUUUGGAUGACCAAU
rnacentral:lncRNA from 1 species